CCGAAAGGCAGGAGUGCCUGCAAGGGAGCGCGGAGACAGGUGGUGCAUGGCUGUCGUCAGCUCGUGUCGUGAGAUGUUGGGUUAAGUCCCGCAACGAGCGCAACCCUCACCUCUUGUUGCCAUCAGGUCAUGCUGGGCACUCUAGAGGAACUGCCCCGGUCAACGGGGAGGAAGGCGGGGAUGACGUCAAGUCAUCAUGCCCCUUACGUCCUGGGCUACACACGUGCUACAAUGGCCGGUACAAAGGGAUGCCACACCGCGAGGUAGAGCUAAACCCAAAAAGCCGGUCUAAGUUCGGAUUGGAGUCUGCAACUCGACUCCAUGAAGGAGGAAUCGCUAGUAAUCGCGUAUCAGCACGACGCGGUGAAUACGUUCCCGGGCCUUGUACACACCGCCCGUCACACCACGAAAGCCAGCUGUACUCGAAGUCG
rnacentral:rRNA from 1 species